UUCCAGACUCCUACGGGAGGCAGCAGUGGGGAAUAUUGCACAAUGGGGGGAACCCUGAUGCAGCAAUGCCGCGUGGGUGAAGAAGCACUCCGGUGCGUAAAGCCCUGUCAGCAGGGAAGAAAAUGACAGUACCUGACCAAGAAGCCCCGGCUAACUACGUGCCAGCAGCCGCGGUAAUACGUAGGGGGCAAGCGUUAUCCGGAUUUACUGGGUGUAAAGGGAGCGCAGGCGGUAUGGCAAGUCAGAUGUGAAAACCCAGGGCCCAACCCUGGGACUGCAUUUGAAACUGCCAUACUGGAGUGCCGGAGAGGUAAGUGGAAUUCCUAGUGUAGCGGUGAAAUGCGUAGAUAUUAGGAGGAAUACCGUUAGCGAAGGCGGCAAUCUGGCGGGAAACUGACGCUGAGGUGCGAAAGCGUGGGUAGCAAACAGGAUUAGAUACCCUUGUAUG
rnacentral:rRNA from 1 species